AUUGAACGCUGGCGGCAUGCCUUACACAUGCAAGUCGAACGGUAACAGGUUAAGCUGACGAGUGGCGAACGGGUGAGUAAUGUAUCGGAACGUGCCCCGUCGUGGGGGAUAACUGCUUGAAAGAGCAGCUAAUACCGCAUACGACCUGAGGGUGAAAGCGGGGGAUCGCAAGACCUCGCGCGAUUGGAGCGGCCGAUAUCAGAUUAGGUAGUUGGUGGGGUAAAGGCUCACCAAGCCAACGAUCUGUAGCUGGUCUGAGAGGACGACCAGCCACACUGGGACUAAGACACGGCCCAGACUCCUACGGGAGGCAGCAGUGGGGAAUUUUGGACAAUGGGCGCAAGCCUGAUCCAGCCAUGCCGCGUGCGGGAAGAAGGCCUUCGGGUUGUAAACCGCUUUUGUCAGGGAAGAAAAGGUUCUGGCUAAUACCUGGGACUCAUGACGGUACCUGAAGAAUAAGCACCGGCUAACUACGUGCCAGCCGCCGCUGUAACAC
rnacentral:rRNA from 1 species